UACGGAGGAUCCGAGCGUUAUCCGGAUUUAUUGGGUUUAAAGGGUGCGUAGGCGGUUUGAUAAGUUAGAGGUGAAAUGUCGGGGCUCAACCCCGAAACUGCCUCUAAUACUGUUGGACUAGAGAAUAGUUGCGGUAGGCGGAAUGUAUGGUGUAGCGGUGAAAUGCUUAGAGAUCACACAGAACACCGAUUGCGAAGGCAGCUUACCAAACUAUAUCUGACGUUGAGGCACGAAAGCGUGGGUAGCAAACAGG
rnacentral:rRNA from 1 species